rnacentral:rRNA from 1 species
AGUCGAACGAACUUCCGUUAAUUGAUUAUGACGUGCUUGCACUGAAUGAGAUUUUAACACGAAGUGAGUGGCGGACGGGUGAGUAACACGUGGGUAACCUGCCCAGAAGCAGGGGAUAACACCUGGAAACAGAUGCUAAUACCGUAUAACAGAGAAAACCGCCUGGUUUUCUUUUAAAAGAUGGCUCUGCUAUCACUUCUGGAUGGACCCGCGGCGCAUUAGCUAGUUGGUGAGGUAACGGCUCACCAAGGCGAUGAUGCGUAGCCGACCUGAGAGGGUAAUCGGCCACAUUGGGACUGAGACACGGCCCAGACUCCUACGGGAGGCAGCAGUAGGGAAUCUUCCACAAUGGACGCAAGUCUGAUGGAGCAACGCCGCGUGAGUGAAGAAGGGUUUCGGCUCGUAAAGCUCUGUUGUUAAAGAAGAACGUGGGUGAGAGUAACUGUUCACCCAGUGACGGUAUUUAACCAGAAAGCCACGGCUAACUACGUGCCAGCAGCCGCGGUAAUACGUAGGUGGCAAGCGUUAUCCGGAUUUAUUGGGCGUAAAGCGAGCGCAGGCGGUCUUUUAAGUCUAAUGUGAAAGCCUUCGGCUCAACCGAAGAAGUGCAUUGGAAACUGGGAGACUUGAGUGCAGAAGAGGACAGUGGAACUCCAUGUGUAGCGGUGAAAUGCGUAGAUAUAUGGAAGAACACCAGUGGCGAAGGCGGCUGUCUGGUCUGUAACUGACGCUGAGGCUCGAAAGCAUGGGUAGCGAACAGGAUUAGAUACCCUGGUAGUCCAUGCCGUAAACGAUGAUUACUAAGUGUUGGAGGGUUUCCGCCCUUCAGUGCUGCAGCUAACGCAUUA